rnacentral:rRNA from 1 species
AAUAGAUACCCUGGUAGUCCACGCCGUAAACGGUGGGCACUAGGUGUGGGCGACAUUCCACGUCGUCCGUGCCGCAGCUAACGCAUUAAGUGCCCCGCCUGGGGAGUACGGCCGCAAGGCUAAAACUCAAAGGAAUUGACGGGGGGCCCGCACAAGCGGCGGAGCAUGUGGCUUAAUUCGACGCAACGCGAAGAACCUUACCAAGGCUUGACAUACACCGGAAACGUCCAGAGAUGGGCGCCCCCCUUGUGGUCGGUGUACAGGUGGUGCAUGGCUGUCGUCAGCUCGUGUCGUGAGAUGUUGGGUUAAGUCCCGCAACGAGCGCAACCCUUGUCCCGUGUUACCAGCAGGCCCUUGUGGUGCUGGGGACUCACGGGAGACCGCCGGGGUUCAACUCGGAGGAAGGUGGGGACGACGUCAAGUCAUCAUGCCCCUUAUGUCUUGGGCUGCACACGUGCUACGAAUGGCCGGUACAAUGAGCUGCGAUACCGCGAGGUGGAGCGAAUCUCAAAAAGCCGGUCUCAGUUCGGAUUGGGGUCUGCAACC